AGAGCCCUCUUGUUCCUGAUGGAUUCUUCUUUCGUUAUUUUUCCUCCGCUUUAAACUGGAAAAUGGCCCACUUCCCACUGGCGAAAACUCAGGAAAUUUGGCAGGACGACCGGGCCUGGUGAAAAAUUUGAUAUUCUGAAGUCGUCCAAACAAAAAAAUGAAAAAUGGCUCCAUAGCGCCCCCUAUGGUGAAAACUCACCUGAUGCCUGUACGCUUUGUCAAAAUGACACAAAAUUUGACACACAUGUGUAUCUCAAUAAGAUCUACGAAAAAGUCAGUGCGGGCGUAUCUGCCAAAUGUACGGUUAAAGGGCUAUUUCGCUUUUUUUGCCGAUCCGCACACAUUGGAAUUUCGCUAACUCCUCCGAAGGCUUUCGUUCCACCGGCACCAAGUUUGCUCAGGCCAAUCUACACCCCAUGGCCAUUAAAAGUUGUACAAAUCAUGAUGCUGCACCCCACGGUUUACUUUCUAGGGGGCGCCAAAGAUAACCCAAAAAUCCACAUUCUUAAAAGUCUUAUAACUUUUUAUUUUUGUCCUCACUGGCCUCCAAGUUUUCUAGGAUGAUGCAAUGUCCAGCCAUCAACACAUUUGUGAAGGAAUUUUUACUCCCCAAAAGAGCGCCCCCCCAUGGCAGGAGAAAAAAGUCCAUUUUUUCUUGUCUCCUAAGGUAAAAAUACACAUUGUUGAGUGUCACGCCUAUACACUUUGUCAUAUUGACACACAAUUUGACAAUCACGUGUAUCUCAAUAAGAUCUACAAAAAAGUCAAUAGGCACGUAUCUGUCAAAUGUAUGGUUAAAGGGCUAUUUCGCAUUUUUUGCCGAUUCGCACACAUUGGAAUGUGGCUAACUCCUCCUAAGGCUUUCGUCCCACCGAUACCAAAUUUGCUCAGGGCAAUCCACACCCCAUGGCCAUUCAAAGUUGUAAAAAUCAUGACGCUGCACCCCACGGUUUACGUUCUAGGGGGCGCCAAAGAUGACCCAAAAAUCCACAUUCUUAAAAGUCAUUUUGGCCACUGCAGGAGUACAGAGUACUGCAGUUCUAGGGGGCGCCAAAGAUGACCCAAAAAUCCACAUUCUUAAAAGUCUUUUUGGCCACUGCAGGAGUACAGAGUACUGCCGGACACACACACAUAUACACACACGCCAACACACACACACACACACACACACACACACACACACACACACACACUCAGAGUCUGUUUUUUAGCACCUGCAAAAACAUGCUGUUUACAUAUUUGACAAGAAUGCAGAGGCUUCCUUUUGCCCCUGAAAAAAAUCAAAUUUCAAACACAACUUGACUGUUCAUUUCUCCAAAAGACAACCAUGAAGCUCCAUCCAAACCUGAAGCAGAUAGUUGGUGCAUGUGUACAGUAACCUGAGGAGAGUGAGGUGACUACUUCUGAGGAGAACAUGAGCAGUGAAGAUUCACCUUGGAGCUAGAACAGGGACGUGCACAUGAUUAUACAGGGGCAGGGGCUCAAGUUUUUUCCAGUCAUUUAUACAAUAUGGAAAUUAAUGUGAAAUUAAACCACAAAUAUGUGUGAUGAACUGUUUUUAAAACUUAAACUUCAAAUAAAAAUUGUAAACUUCAAAACAUAUGCAAAUUUUUAACAAAGAACAUAGUAAUUUACCUCUAUUUACAUCAAAAUGCAGGCAAUGGCCCAGGCGUUCUUUGUAAAAUUAUUUACAAAACACUGUAUAGUCUCACAAAUGUCACUUUUUAUUUAUGCCACUACAAAAAAACAUGAUGUAAAUGAUGCAUGAUGUAAAACAUGAUGUAAAAAACUUAUGUAGAUCCUCCUCUAUGUCAGUCCAUGUGUAAUUUUUCCAUAAUUCUUUGUUUUUUGCAGCAUUUUUGUUAGUGUAACUGCAGAUUGUGCUGACAGUGUCUAUGGCAAAAAAAAAAAAAAACUGAAAAUGCCUCAACAUGAACUCCUGGUGGUCUCUGAGGGUGAAACCUGCUAACUGCUGCAGCUCUCUCAGCUUCAGUCUCCCAUGCAGAGCUCGGAGCGCAUGUGUGGCUCUGCACCCUUAGCAGCGUUGCUAACUCCUCAGUAAGGAAAGCCUGCUUCAUGUCAGAGUCUCUAAACUCCAGAAGAAGUCGAUAAAAGUCCCUUUCUUUCUAAAAAAGUCGUUAGGGGGUCUGAAAAGUCAUUGAAUCUAACAACAAAGUCGCUAGGUUUGCAACUACGUGUCCCAGACUGCAUCCCUGCUGAGAGUCCCUCCCUCCCUUCUCAUGUUGCAGGAAGAACGUAAGCGCCCGCCCCUUGUCAAUCAGUCACCAUAUAAUUUUGGAUUGGUUGUUGUGGUGAAGUUUUCCACCAAUAGGAGAGAUGUUGUGGUGUGUUUUUUUUUUCUUUUGGCAAGCCUUUUCCGCCUGUAAGACCUGUCGCUAAUGUGUGCAUGCUAUGUUUUCCUGUCUCAUACAGCGCGAUCGAGCGCCGAACGUGAUCAAAAUAAGCAGAAAAAAAGUAUCGCGGACAUAAUUUAUCAUAACUCUGGUUUUAUUUGGCCUAUCAACACAAUUUAAAAACUGGUAUAUAGGUUGAGGUCCUCACUUUUGAGAUAAGUUUAAACGGAGAGUUAACGAGGCUCCGUCUUGCAGCUACAUCCGGUUAAAUAUGUCAUGUGACUUGAACGCACACACAGACACACACACACGCACACACACACACACACACACACAGACACACACACACACACGCACGCACACACACACACACACUCAGAGUCUGUUUUUUAGCACCUGCAAAAACAUGCCAUUUACAUAUUUGACAAGAAUGCAGAGGCUUCCUUUUGCCCCUGAAAAAAAUCAAAUUUCAAACACAACUUGACUGCUCAUUUCUCCAAAAGACAACCAUGAAGCUCCAUCCAAACCUGAAGCAGGCAGUUGGUGCAUGUGUACAGUAACCUGAGGGGAGUGAGGUGACUGCUUCUGAGGAGAACAUGAGCAGUGAAGAUUCACCUUGGAGCUAGAACAGGGACGUGCACAUGAUAAUACAGGGGCAGGGGCUCAAGUUUUUUCCAGUCGUUUAUACAAUAUGGAAAUUAAUGUGAAAUUAAAAAACAAAGUAUGACUGUCCUGUGUAGGUGACAGUGAUAUCCAAUAGGCUAGGCACUCACGAGGCUGGCUGUGGCAAGUGUAAGUGAAAGCAACACGCACUGGCAGGAAGAACAGCAAACGCCGAUGAAGGAAAAGGGUCUUUGCAGUGAUGGGCGUUACCAGAGAGGGCGAUGGCCAGAGGACGCGAAUGGGACGGGGAGGCAGCGCGUUUCGCGACACGGCUCGGGCCCGCCAGUGCCCCAACGGGGCCCUAGUUAGGGCCCGAGCGUAGCUGCUAAGCAGCUGCGAGAGCCCUCUUGUUCCUGCAUGUUUCCUUCUUUCGUUAUUAUUUUUCCUCCGCUUUAAACUGGAAAAUGGCCCACUUCCCACUGGCGAAAACUCAGGAAAUUUGGCAGGACGACCGGGCCUGGUGAAAAAUUCGAUAUUCUGAAGUCGCCCAAACAAUAAAAUGCAAAAUGGCUCCAUAGCGCCCCCUAAGGUGAAAAUUCACAUGGCGGCUGUACGCUUUGUCAUAUUGACACAAAAAUUGACACACACAUGUAUCUCAAUAAGAUCUACAAAAAAGUCAGUGCGGGCGUAUCUGUCAAAUGUACGGUUAAUGGGUUAUUUUGCAUUUUUUGCAGAUCUGCACACAUUGGAAUUUCGCUAACUCCUCUGAAGGCUUUCGUUCGACCGGCACCACAUUUGCGCAGGCCAAUCUACCCCCCAUGGCCAUUAAAAGUUGUACAAAUCAUGACGCUGCACCCCACGGUUUACGUUCUAGGGGGCGCCAAAGAUAACCCAAAAUCCACAUUCUUAAAAGUCUUAUAACUUUUUAUUUUUGUCCUCACUGCCCUCCAAGUUUUCUAGGAUGAUGCAAUGUCCAGCCAUCAACACAUUUGUGAAGGAAUUUUUACUCCCCAAAAGAGCUCCCCCCAUGGCAGGAGAAAAAAGUCAAUUUUUUCUUGUCCCCUUACAUGAAAAUACACAUUGUUGAGUGUCACGCCUGAACGCUUUGUCAUAUUGACACAAAAAUUGACAAUCAUGUGUAUCUCAAUUAGAUCUACGAAAAAGUCAAAAGCGCGUAUCUGUAUAAUGUACGGUUAAAGGGCUAUUUCGCAUUUUUUGCCGAUUCGCACACAUUGGAAUGUGGCUAUCUCCUCCUAAGGCUUUCGUCCCACCGAUACCAAAUUUGCUCAGGGCAAUCUACACCCCAUGCCCAUUCAAAGUUGUAAAAAUCAUGACGCUGCACCCCACGGUUUACGUUCUAGGGGGCACCAAAGAUGACCCAAAAAUCCACAUUCUUAAAAGUCAUUUUGGCCACUGCAGGAGUACAGAGUACUGCAGUUCUAGGGGCGCCAAAGAUGACCCAAAAAUCCACAUUCUUAAAAGUCUUUUUGGCCACUGCAGGAGUACAGAGUACUGCAGGAUACACACACACACACACACACACACACACACACACACACACACACUCAGAGUCUGUUUUUUAGCACCUGCAAAAACAUGCUGUUUACAUAUUUGACAAGAAUGCAGAGGCUUCCUUUUGCCCCUGAAAAAAAUCAAAUUUCAAACACAACUUGACUGUUCAUUUCUCCAAAAGACAACCAUGAAGCUCCAUCCAAACCUGAAGCAGAUAGUUGGUGCAUGUGUACAGUAACCAGAGGGGAGUGAGGUGACUAUUUCUGAGGAGAACAUGAGCAGUGAAGAUUCACCUUGGAGCUAGAACAGGGACGUGCACAUGAUUAUACAGGGGCAGGGGCUCAAGUUUUUUCCAGUCAUUUAUACAAUAUGGAAAUUAAUGUGAAAUUAAACCACAAAUAUGUGUGAUGAACUGUUUUUAAAACUUAAACUUCAAAUAAAAAUUGUAAACUUCAAAACAUAUGCAAAUUUUUAACAAAGAACAUAGUAAUUUACCUGUAUUUACAUCAAAAUGCAGGCAAUGGCCCAGGCGUUCUUUGUAAAAUUAUUUACAAAACACUGUUUAGUCUCACAAAUGUCACUUUUUAUUUAUGCCACUACAAAAAAACAUGAUGUAAAUGAUGCAUGAUGUAAAACAUGAUGUAAAAAACUUGUGUAGAUCCUCCUCUAUGUCAGUCCAUGUGUAAUUUUUCCAUAAUUCUUUGUUUUUUGCAGCAUUUUUGUUAGUGUAACUGCAGAUUGUGCUGACAGUCUAUGGGAAAAAAAAAAAACUGAAAAUGCCUCAACAUGAACCCCUGGUGGUCUCUGAGGGUGAAACCUGCUAACUGCUGCAGCUCUGUCAGCUUCAGUCUCCCAUGCAGAGCUCGGAGCGCAUGUGUGGCUCUGCACCCUUAGCAGCGUUGCUAACUCCUCAGUAAGGAAAGCCUGCUUCAUGUCAGAGUCUCUAAACUCCAGAAGAAGUCGAUAAAAGUCCCUUUCUUUCUAAAAAAAAGUCGUUAGGGGGUCUGAAAAGUAAUUGAAUCUAACAACAAAGUCGCUAGGUUUGCAACUACGUGUCCCAGACUGCAUCCCUGCUGAGAGUCCCUCCCUCCCUUCUCAUGUUGCAGGAAGAACAUAAGCGCCCGCCCCUUGUCAAUCAGUCACCA